AACAUUCAUUGUUGUCGGUGGGUUGUGACAGAGACCAGACCCACCGAGGGAUGAAUGUCA
rnacentral:pre_miRNA from 1 species